AUUUUGAUUUUGAGAGAGGGUAUUCUAGCCAAAUACCGGCCAUUACCCGACCCAAACUAUAUUUGCGUUGUCCUUGGAACAUACGCUAUUCUCAGUGCAUUUCAGCUCCUCCAUUCUCCCCUUGCGUGCUUUUCAAAUGCUAGUGUGUUAUUGCGUUGUCCUUGGGAUGCUAAUCUGUUUUCCAGGAAAUUAUCUUACGUAUUUUCUCGGGAAAUCGGAGCCGCCCAUGAAAAUUUACCUCCACGAUUUCCCGACGUUGUUGAGCACCAUUCUCUAGCACGCGGUGAUCGAGGUGAAGGCUCUUCAGAGCUCAAGUACCCUGAUCACCAGCACAUGGUUGAAUGGUACCAUUUUUUUCUGAUAUGCUUAUCCAGAAACCGGGUCGGAUCAAUGGCAUGGGAAUAGUCUGAACAGCAACGAGGAGACACGGGAGGCGAGGAGCCGCGGAAUUGGUAGAGGAACAAGCUCGGGAUCCCAAUGGAAUUAUUGAUGAAAUUAAGAUUAGUAUUUUGCUCGUUAUCAGAUUUCGGGGGAUUGAGGGCAUACCAAGCUUCAUUAGUCGAGGACGUGAUUUUGGCGUGUUCUCAUCAGACCAUAUAAUGGUGACGUUUGUCUCAUAGCUCGCAAGGCCUUGUUGUCCUUUGUAGGCAACCGGUUUAAAAAAGAGAUAUAAUGGACGAAGAUAAAGAUAGCAGUACUAUUAGUGGACGCUACCACGCCUGUAAAGUCUAGAUUUGUUGUUUUUUAGACCGAGGGUAUAACUAGAUAAAGGCUUCUGGAAUAUCAGAAACAGUUGGAAGAGGUUAGUAUAAUUUGAGACUAAGACGUGGAACUCGGUUUUAUUACUUUUCUUGGUAUUCUUGCUUUGUCUUCUUUUAUUUUUAUUAUUUUUUUAAAACUUGGCAUGCUUUUGGCAAGUUAAAUUUUUGUUUUGGAAGUCCUUGGAUCAGCACUUUCGGUCUAUGGAGGAUUGGAUUUUUGAUGGUUGCUGAAUUUCUUGGUUUUUCUUAUUUAUUGGCUAUUUUGGAAGGAGGGAAUUUAUGAGAUAAGAAGUCUUCUUUGGUUUGGAAUAUUGAUUCUUCAUGGUUUUUUCUGAUUAUAUCUUUGAAGCGGCCCUAUCUUUGCUGAUUUUCUUCCGAAGAAGUUUUUAGAUUUUUUUCAGGUUUGUUUUCGUCCCCAAGGGUAUUUUUGGUUUGGGUUUUGCUAUCAAGGCAAUUGUUUUGGAGUUAAGGUUCAACUGCAAUCAAAGGUUUUGAAGGUGAAAUUACAUUUGGAAUACGAAGAAGCAAAAGGGACAACAAUGAAUGAGAUCCGGGGCCAAGUCUCACCAAAGCUUCCCUGAAUUAAACGAAUGAUCCUUGGAGAUAGAAAGCUUGUUCAGGAAGAAUUGAAUGGAGCAAACUGCUUUAUUCUGUGUUUAAUCAAAUGCCAGAAGCUUUGGAGAUCAUUCGAGAGAGGAAGAGUAUGCUAAUUGCUAGCCGUGGAAGAGGAAGACUAUGCUACAUAAUCAUAAUCAAUCCUUUUUUUUUCCAUUGCUGUAUAUCUUGUUUGAAUGAUAAUGUACGCCUCAACUUUGUUA